AAAGAGAAAACCCUAAUUCCUAAAUUCAUAAAGACCACUCAAAAUCAGAUAGUCAUAUUCAAAUCUCAAUUCAAAUUCAGAAAAAUAAAACAAUUGAUGGAGUUGUUCAAAACCGAAUCAAGAAAGAGAAAGAGCAUUGGAGGAACUUAUUAAAAAGAUUAAUUUCAAUUGUGAAAUAUCUUGGAAAAUAUAGUUUGGCUUUUCGUGGAAGUAAUGAGAAGAUCCAUGAUAUUAACAAUGGAAAUUUCUUGGGCCAAGUUGAAAUGAUUGCAGAGUGGGAUCCAGUUAUGAAGGAGCAUGCGUAUGGAUGAAAUAGACUCAUUAUCAUUAUCUUA